AGGAAUAACAAAGUGAUCUCAUAAGUGUAAAGUCAAAUGGAACCUAACCUCUCUAACAAUCAUUCAAAUAGAUAGGAUGCUAGUUCCUAAUUGUUUCUACAUUAUGAAUAUACACAUAAGCUUCUUCCUUUUCAAUCUAAGAAAAUAUAGAAUAUUGCCAAGAACUGAUCGGAAUAACAAAAUGAUCUCAUAAGUGUUAACUCAAAUGGAACCUAACCUCUCUAAUAAUCAAUCAAAUAGACUGGACGCUAGUUUCUAAUUGUUUCCACAUUAUGAAGAUACACAUAAGCUUCUUCCAUUUUCAAUCUAAGCAAAUAUAAAAUAUUGCCAAGAACUGAUAAAAAUAACAAAAUGAUCUCAUAAGUGUUUCCACAAUAUGAAG
rnacentral:lncRNA from 1 species